CUGUCUAUUUCUGAGGUUUAUUAGAUAUGGGAUGCAAGGGUUCAACAAAGUUCAUCACUUUACAAUGGAACAAAGUUCAGGGUAUGCUGCACUGUUCUGCUUUUGCAUUUCUCUUUUAUUUUUAAUUCUGAAUAACAGAGAGUCAGGUAUUAUCUGUUCAGUUUAGAAUUUGGACAGUUAAUGUUGGGCACUUUGAUGACCACAAUUGCAACUCACUUAUAACUUGAGAGAAUUUAGCUGGUCAUUUCUAGUUUAUUAGAUUCACCCAAUAAGCUGCAUGUCUUAGAUUUUCCCUUCUAAAGAAUGUUAUAUAUACUGAUAAUUUUACAGUACAGUGGAUACAACUUCGAUGUAGGGAAUAAUUCCAAACAGCAGCCUCAUGUUUCCCUUCAUCUUGGUCUGACAGAUUAUAGGUUCUUCUCAAUCUUUCUUCUUCUUCCUUCCAUUAAUAUAUCAUUUAAGUGCAUGUUUUUCCAUUUGAUGUGCAUGUGAUGGAAAACUAUAAUGAUUUACUCCGUCUGGUGCAAUUUGGACAAGCUAAUUUAUUGUGUCAAUCUAAAUUCAGAAUGUCUAAACCUUGAAUCAUUAAAUGUGAACAAUUCUUGAGCGUACCCUCUUACUCGUAGUUAGGAGUCAAAGAGGAAGAUAUUAAUUACAUCAGGCACACAUUGAAUCCUCCCCUAACCCUCGUCUUUUCUUUUAGGUUUUCCACUUUUUUGGUUAAUGUUUGCAGUUAGUACUGCUGUCACCACCGGCAUUUCAAAAAAAUGUUUUGUGGAAUGAAGAUAUUGAUAGUGGUGACAACAAAUUGUUAACACUCGGAAUAAUCAAAGUCAAACUAUAUUUUCUCGCCAGAAGUCUCUGCUUAAAUUUCAGUGUAGUCGUUUCAACUCUUAUUCCUGAUUUUUUCACUGAUUCUUCUUUAUGCAGUUGUGGGACUACUUUUUGAAAGGACUACCAUCUACCUUAAAAUGGAGAAUUAGAUCUUUGAUGUCAUAUUCUCUGUGUCUGGAAAAUUAAGUAGAAAAUUACUUGUUGGAAGUUGAUUUUUUUUCCCAUUUUCUAAUAGUGCUGACAGGUCACACUGAAUUUGAUAUCACAACUGUAAAUGCGUUGCCAAUUUGUUUCAUACUGUCCUGAUUUCAAUCGUAUAUUUGCACAUCAAUAUCUUCCACACCACUGUUUAUGUUCGUUAUUUGUGUUGUUUAAAUCUUGGGGUGAAAAACGAGAACUUGUAAAUGUCUGCCAUGUCCAUCUACACUUUAAUUGUAUCCAUGCAUUUACCCACAAAGAAGAAGAGCAAAAAUAGAUAUCAAAUAAGACAAUAAAAUGAUCUUACAGUUGAACUUUUCUACUCAAGACAUUCAUGGGAACAAAUUUAAGUCCUAUGUGGGAGAGAUUUCUUGUUCCUUCUGAAGGUAAGCAAGCUUCCAUUCUAUGUAAUUUUUGUAAGAGUUGCUUUAUCCUGUUGGAAAUGAUUUUACCUUAUAUAUCUCUAACGUAUCUACUAGAUAAGCUGCAAUAGUAACCACAACCUUUUCUUAUUUCUUUUGGUUCCUUUUCUGUUCUAUUUUAAACAUUCCAAAUAUGGUCUGCAGCUAAUUCGUGCCUUCAGAAUUCCCAAAGGGUAGGGAGGUUAUUCUGUGAUGCAAAUUGCAUAUAACAUUUCAUAGGGCAGUCAAUUCGAGUAUUUGAAAAGGGACGAAUAUGAUUCCUACUGAUAUUCCAGGUGGCAAGCCUACAAUUCAUUUGCAGUAAAAGAUUUGGUUGGUUUUUCUGCAGAUGAUUGUAUACAGUGUCAGAACACAUCAAGUCCUCUGGGUAAUGGUGCAGUUGUGGAAACUUCUGAUAAAAGAAUACUUGUGCUUCAAAGAAGUAAUAAAGUCGGAGAAUUCCCUGGAUAUUUUGUUUUUCCUGGAGACCAUCCAGAGGUAUCUUACCUCAUGCCAUAAGGACACCUUGAGAUAUUGGUAAUACAAUUCUGAUAAAUAUAACCUUUUGCAACUCAAAAUGGGAGAGUCAGAAGCGAUUGUAACCCAACAAGCUACUCUUAACACUUUCAUGUUGAAAAAAACGUGUGGGCUAUGGCAGCAAAAGGCAAUUGCCAUAUUUCUGUUUGGAAAAAGAUAUUUAGUGGUGUUCACCAUUUUGACCUUUAGCUAAGAAGUAAUUCUAAGUUACAUAACUUGUUAUCUGUAUUCCUUUAACUUCACCUGCUUUUAAUGAAACCAGCAAAAUUGUUAGACCUUAUCUGACAAUGCUUUAUUCAGUUGUAAGCUCUUGAUUUAGAGUUACUUAAUAAAAUGAUCAGCUAAGGGAUUUUGAAUAUGUGACUGCUUUCAUGCAAAUCACUCGUUCCUUUUUGCUAAGAUUAAGCUGUGGAUUCUUUGUUUACUUCACUGACCAAAGAUGUCCAGGUAAAAAGCAAAGCAUGACAUGAUUAUAUUUUAUACUUUUAACAACCCCAAGAAGUCGGAAUAAUCUCCCAUGAAGGCUUCCAAGAGUUGAAUCAAUGUCACACGAUUAAUAGCAAAGUUUCUCAGGAAAUGUUUGACAGCAUUGUCCGUGAAGUUGUUGAAGAAAUUGGAGCUCCUGCAGAUUCCCUUUCCCAUCUUUAUUGAUGUAUCUCGGAGAGUAUUGAAUGUUAGACCAACUGCUUUUUUCUUCAUCAAAUGCAAUCUUCAGUCAGAUGAAAUUCAACAACUGUAUUCUAGUGCACAGGAUGGCUUCGAGUGAACUCAGCUUUAUACUGUUUCAAUGAGUGAUUUAGAGAACAUGGCUUCUAAAAUGCCUGGCUGCCACAGGGGAGGCUAUGCACUCUACAAAUUAAUGGUACAAGGCACCAGUGAUGGUUAAUCUCAUCUUUUGCUGAAUGAGGUUUUAGUAGCCUCUAAUGUCUUGCUUGCCUGCUUUAUAUAUGUUCUGUCUUGCAAUCUUUGAUGUGCAGUCUCAUGCUAUGCUGUUUCAUUGAUCAAAAGAAAAGUUCCCAUGGAAAUCUCAAUGUGCUAACAUGCACAGUUUAUGCAAUUUAGUCAUACUGCUCACACUACAUCCACGGGGUUUGGAAUUGGAAAAGUAAUUAAAUCAGAAGCAAGCAAACACAUUUAUCUUAGCUUCUUUGUUAUGUAUUCAAACAAAUUUGAUUAAAUGGACAUUUUUUGAUUA